rnacentral:rRNA from 1 species
GAUGAACGCUGGCGGCGUGCUUAACACAUGCAAGUCGAACGGAACCUUCGGGGUUAGUGGCGGACGGGUGAGUAACACGUGGGAACGUGCCUUUUGGUUCGGAAUAGCUCCUGGAAACGGGUGGUAAUGCCGAAUGUGCCCUUUGGGGGAAAGAUUUAUCGCCAUUAGAGCGGCCCGCGUCUGAUUAGCUAGUUGGUGAGGUAAAGGCUCACCAAGGCGACGAUCAGUAGCUGGUCUGAGAGGAUGACAAGCCACAUUGGGACUGAGAAACGGCCAAAACUCCGACGGGAGGCAGCAGUGGGGAAUCUUGAGCAAUGGGCGAAAGCCUGACGCAGCCAUGCCGCGUGAAUGAUGAAGGUCUUAGGAUUGUAAAAUUCUUUCACCGGGCACGAUAAUGACGGUACCCGGAGAAGAAGCCCCGGCUACCUUCGUGCCAGCAGCCGCCGUAACAC